AACGGCAUCUCGCGGGGAUCUUACUUUGCCCGGCGGCAAGCCAUAUAUAAGUCGCAGGACCGACCAAUCCUACGCUUAGGGUCGUGUCCCCCCUAGAAAGGAACAGGGUUCCACCUACCCAGAAGGCUACUAUGUGCACACAGGCCGAUGUCUAACCCUAUCGACUAUAGGUGUCCUGUAGAUACUGCCAAACCAUGCAUAAUGCCAUAAUGCACCCUCCCAAUACUCUACUAAAAAGGAGCAUAAUCAAGACUACCACUCACUUGGCCACGAUCCAAUUAUAACUAACAUCAGAGUUGGGAGUGAGGAAUCAUGGGAGUGCAAUGCAACUCAAUAUACCACUGAAAAGGGCUCUACAAGUCUUUUAAAUAGAGGAAAUGAAAUCAUUUUACAAAAAAAGUCAUUCCACAAUUCGGAACCAAUUUGACUACUCUUCUACCCCUCGUAAUUUAUCUCAAUGUUUCCUCAAAUGCGUGUACAAAAUAAUCAAGCAUGGAGAAACAAGAUUAUAGAGGAAUCUACUACAAUAUCAAUCAAUAUGCACAAGUGGAAUCAAUUUACAAUUGCAACAUUCAUGAAAAUGAAUUAAGAAUGCUCAUGGUGCAAAGUACAUGAUUCCCACUCACCUGCCAAUCCGGCACGAUCCUAAUACACCUCCAAAAAUCUACAGUAGGUAGUGGAAAACUUCUUCCUCUUGUUCUCUAGCUUCUUGCCCAACUGUGACAUGCAUUAAUUAUAUAUUCAAUCUUGUAUCAAGAACUCAUAAUCUAUGUAUCCACCACAAACAUAGAAAACUUAAAUUGACUCAACUCCCCCCCUCACUAAAUCUUCCUUUUUCUAUUAAUUAACUUGCUAUUCUUUCUCUUUCUAGAAUUUUCCUGACUCCCGAGCCGUCUCCAACUUUCCGAGUCAACUCCGCAGAGGCUCGAGUCGACUCCGGCACCUCCCGAGUCGACUCCGCCUAGCUCGAGUAGACCCCAAUCUACCCCGAAUCGACUCCAGUUAACCUCGAGUCGACUCCGGUGCGCUUCGAGGCAACUCCCAUCAUUUUUCUCAUCUUCUUCAUCUCGGAUGAACAGUAACCCGAAUUGACAGCGGAUUAUUUCAUCCCGAUUUUGAUCCACUUUUCAAACUCCAACUUUAUAAAAUUUUUAUCUAACAUGUUACACUCAUAGAGGUUUCU
rnacentral:lncRNA from 1 species